GUAGUCCACGCCCUAAACGAUGUCAACUAGUUGUUGGUAGAGUAAAAUCUAUGAGUAACGCAGCUAACGCGUGAAGUUGACCGCCUGGGGAGUACGAUCGCAAGAUUAAAACUCAAAUGAAUUGACGGGGGCCCGCACAAGCGGUGGAUUAUGUGGAUUAAUUCGAUGCAACGCGAAAAACCUUACCUGGCCUUGACAUGUACGGAACUUUCCAGAGAUGGAUUGGUGCUCGAAAGAGAACCGUAACACAGGUGCUGCAUGGCUGUCGUCAGCUCGUGUCGUGAGAUGUUGGGUUAAGUCCCGCAACGAGCGCAACCCUUGCCAAUAAUUGCCAUCAUUUAGUUGGGCACUUUAUUGGGACUGCCGAUGACAAAUCGGAG
rnacentral:rRNA from 1 species